CACAGAAGCGAUUCUGUCUGGAGCUUUGCACUUGAUUCGCCCUGUUUCGGUUGAUGUCGUACUAGGGCAGCGUGGGGGUAGUGUUGGGACUACAGUGACCAUUGUCGGCGUAACGGUGCGAUGUCAUGGUUUGAGAUUCAUGGAGUGUUGUGUGCAUAUUGUGAACUGGUAGAGAACUAUGUAAACUAGUGGACGUCACGGCGGCAGCCAAGAAGAUCGAAAAGAAGAAACCGGUUCAAGCGUGUGGGGCCAGCCUGCACCUACUAAAGUACAUUGCUGGAAAUUUUUCCACUGGAUGGUGAUGAUGAUGAAUAAUCGAAACAAGUCGCAAAGAAUUCCACUGCGCUUACAGUGUACCGAACACCGAUGUUGUUGCGCCAAAAAACGUCAAACAAUGUACCGGAACAAACUGAGUAAACGACGUCUGUAAAUUUGGGCAAAUAAAACUAAAACUGAUGAUGACAUACUUAGCACCCCCCACGGAAAGACGUUUGAAGUGUUCGUAGUUAUUUGGGGUGCUGUAGCCGCUAGGGCGCAAAUAAAUGUACGUUGAUAUGUACUAUAAUUAGGUUGGACUGAAAA